UACGGGGGGUGCGAGCGUUGUCCGGAAUCACUGGGCGUAAAAGGCGCGUAGGUGGUUUGAUAAGGGUGUGGUGAAAGUCCGGGGCUCAACCCCGGAUCUGCCGUGCCGACUGUCAAACUCGAGGACUGUAGAGGCAGACGGAAUUCCGGGUGUAGCGGUGGAAUGCGUAGAGAUCCGGAGGAAGACCGGUGGCGAAGGCGGUCUGCUGGGCAGUUUCUGACACUGAGGCGCGACAGCGUGGGGAGCAAACAGG
rnacentral:rRNA from 1 species